ensembl:miRNA
AUUUUUAUUAGGUUGGUGCAAAAAUAAUUGUGGUUUUUACCAUAAAAGUAAUGGCAAAAACUGCAAUUACUUUUGCACCAGUCCAAUAAAACACACUAGUCAAAA